rnacentral:rRNA from 1 species
GAGUUUGAUCAUGGCUCAGGAUAAACGCUGGCGGCGUGCCUAAUGCAUGCAAGUCGAACGGGAGCCUCUUCGGAGGUCGACCGUGGCGGACGGGUGAGGAACACGUGGCUAACCUGCCCUGAUCUCGGGGAUAACCACUGGAAACGGUGGCUAAUACCGGAUGUGUUGGUUGAGGGGGACCUUGAUCAACAAAGUGUUAUGGGAACGGAUCAGGAGGGGGCUGCGGCCGAUUAGCUAGCUGGUGGGGUAAUGGCCUACCAGGGCAACGAUCGGUAGCUGGUCUGAGAGGAUGAUCAGCCACACGGGGACUGAGACACGGCCCCGACUCCUACGGGAGGCAGCAGCAAGGAAUUUUCCACAAUGGGCGCCAGCCUGAUGGAGCAACGCCGCGUGGGGGAUGACGCGUUUCGGCGUGUAAACCCCUUUUCCGGGGGACGAAAAUCAUGACGGUACCCCGGGAAGAAGGCCCGGCUAACUACGUGCCAGCAGCCGCGGUAAGACGUAGG